GUGCCAGCCGCCGCGGUAAUACGUAGGGAGCAAGCGUUGUCCGGAAUCAUUGGGCGUAAAGCGCGCGUAGGUGGCUUCGUAAGUCCGUUGUGAAAGUCAAAGGCUCAACCUUUGAAAGCCGAUGGAUACUGCGGAGCUAGAGUACGGAAGAGGCGAGUGGAAUUCCUGGUGUAGCGGUGGAAUGCGCAGAUAUCAGGAGGAACACCAAUAGCGAAGGCAGCUCGCUGGGACGUUACUGACACUGAGGCGCGAAAGCGUGGGGAGCGAACAGGAUUAGAUACCCCAGUAGUCC
rnacentral:rRNA from 1 species